rnacentral:rRNA from 1 species
GAUGGACGCUGGCGGCGUGCCUAAUACAUGCAAGUCGAGCGAACGGACGAGAAGCUUGCUUCUCUGAUGUUAGCGGCGGACGGGUGAGUAACACGUGGAUAACCUACCUAUAAGACUGGGGUAACUUCGGGAAACCGGAGCUAAUACCGGAUAAUAUUUUGAACCGCAUGGUUCAAAAGUGAAAGACGGUCUUGCUGUCACUUAUAGAUGGGUCCGCGCUGCAUUAGCUAGUUGGUAAGGUAACGGCUUACCAAGGCAACGAUGCAUAGCCGACCUGAGAGGGUGAUCGGCCACACUGGAACUGAGACACGGUCCAGACUCCUACGGGAGGCAGCAGUAGGGAAUCUUCCGCAAUGGGCGAAAGCCUGACGGAGCAACGCCGCGUGAGUGAUGAAGGUCUUCGGAUCGUAAAACUCUGUUAUUAGGGAAGAACAUAUGUGUAAGUAACUGUGCACAUCUUGACGGUACCUAAUCAGAAAGCCACGGCUAACUACGUG